rnacentral:rRNA from 1 species
GAUCAUGGCUCAGGAUGAACGCUAGCUACAGGCUUAACACAUGCAAGUCGAGGGGCAGCAUUUUUCUAGCAAUAGAAGAGAUGGCGACCGGCGCACGGGUGAGUAACACGUAUCCAACCUACCGAUAACUCUGGAAUAGCCUUUCGAAAGAAAGGUUAAUACCGGAUAGUAUACGAAUAUCGCAUGAUAUUUUUAUUAAAGAAUUUCGGUUAUCGAUGGGGAUGCGUUCCAUUAGUUUGUUGGCGGGG